rnacentral:lncRNA from 1 species
UGGUGGUUGUCGGUACGGAUGUUGCGGUGGCUGGUUUUUUGGACGGUGCAACUACUGUUGUCGUAGUCCACAAGCCGAGGAGACCGUGGAAACUGAAGCUGUUGAUGCCAACGUUGUUGAACCUCAGCAGGGGGGUCGUGGUGGCUGUAGAUACGGAUGUUGCGGAUCCUGGCGUUAUGGACGGUGCAGCUACUGUUGUCGCAGUCCACAAACCGAGACCGUGGAAACCGAAGCUGUUGAUGCCAACGUUGUUGAACCUCAGCAGGGGGGUCGUGGUGGCUGUAGAUACGGAUGUUGCGGAUCCUGGCGUUAUGGAAGGUGCAGCUACUGUUGUCGCAAUCCACAAACCGAGACCGUGGAAACCGAAGCUGUUGAUGCCAACGUUGUUGAACCUCAGCAGGGGGGUCGUGGUGGCUGUAGAUACGGAUGUUGCGGAUCCUGGCGUUAUGGACGGUGCAGCUACUGUUGCCGAGGUGCUCAAGCGGAGUCUGAAGGGCAGAAAAAGGAAGAAGCUAAG